rnacentral:rRNA from 1 species
CGAACGCUGGCGGCGUGCCUACUACAUGCACGUAGAACGCUGAAGAGAGGAGCUUGCUCUUCUUGGAUGAGUUGCGAACGGGUGAGUAACGCGUAGGUAACCUGCCUUGUAGCGGGGGAUAACUAUUGGAAACGAUAGCUAAUACCGCAUAACAAUGGAUGACACAUGUCAUUUAUUUGAAAGGGGCAAUUGCUCCACUACAAGAUGGACCUGCGUUGUAUUAGCUAGUAGGUGAGGUAAUGGCUCACCUAGGCGACGAUACAUAGCCGACCUGAGAGGGUGAUCGGCCACACUGGGACUGAGACACGGCCCAGACUCCUACGGGAGGCAGCAGUAGGGAAUCUUCGGCAAUGGGGGCAACCCUGACCGAGCAACGCCGCGUGAGUGAAGAAGGUUUUCGGAUCGUAAAGCUCUGUUGUAAGUCAAGAACGGGUGUGAGAGUGGAAAGUUCACACUGUGACGGUAGCUUACCAGAAAGGGACGGCUAACUACGUG